UACCUCAAAAAACCACAACAGUCUGUUUCAUCCGUAUAGGAAUCAUCAGGUGGUUCCUGAUGAUUCCUAUACGGAUGAAACAGACUGUUGUGGUUUUU
rnacentral:miRNA from 1 species